GAUGAACGCUAGCUACAGGCUUAACACAUGCAAGUCGAGGGGAAACGGCAUCGAAAGCUUGCUUUUGAUGGGCGUCGACCGGCGCACGGGUGAGUAACGCGUAUCCAACCUGCCCAUCACUCGGGAAUAACCUUGCGAAAGUAAGACUAAUGCCCAAUGACAUCCCACGAAGGCAUCCGAAUGGGAUUAAAGAUUUAUCGGUGAUGGAUGGGGAUGCGUCUGAUUAGCUUGUUGGCGGGGUGACGGCCCACCAAGGCAACGAUCAGUAGGGGUUCUGAGAGGAAGGGGGCGGACAUUGGGAAUGAGACACGGUCAAGAGUGAGACGGGAGACAGCAGUGGGGGAUAGUGGUAUAUGGGCGAGAGGGUGAACAAGAUAAGUAGCGUGCAGGAUGACGGCCCUAUGGGUUGUAAACUGCUUUUAUAAGGGAAAAAAGUGGGUCAAGUGUGACUUUUUGGAUGUAGCUUAUGAAUUAGGAACGGCUAUUUGCGU
rnacentral:rRNA from 1 species